rnacentral:rRNA from 1 species
ACUACGGGUGGCAGCAGUGAGGAAUAUUGGUCAAUGGGCGGAAGCCUGAACCAGCCAAGUAGCGUGCAGGAUGACGGCCCUACGGGUUGUAAACUGCUUUUAUACGGGAAUAACGCGCCUUACGUGUAGGGCUUUGCAUGUACCGUAUGAAUAAGGACCGGCUAAUUCCGUUCCAGCAGCCGCGGUAAUAUGGAAGGUCCGGGCGUUAUCCGGAUUUAUUGGGUUGAAAGGGAGCGUAGGCCGCAUGUCAAGCGUGCUGUGAAAUGUCCGGGCUCAACCCGGGCCUUGCAGCGCGAACUGGCGUGCUUGAGUCCGCGGAAAGCAGGCGGAAUUCGUCGUGUAGCGGUGAAAUGCUUAGAUAUGACGAAGAACCCCGAUUGCGAAGGCAGCUUGCUGCAGCGGAACUGACGCUGAUGCUCGAAAGCGCGGGUAUCGAACAGGAUUAGAUACCCUUGUAGUC